GCUUAGGCGUGUGACUGCGUACCUUUUGUAUAAUGGGUCAGCGACUUAUAUUCUGUAGCAAGGUUAACCGAAUAGGGGAGCCGAAGGGAAACCGAGUCUUAACUGGGCGUUAAGUUGCAGGGUAUAGACCCGAAACCCGGUGAUCUAGCCAUGGGCAGGUUGAAGGUUGGGUAACACUAACUGGAGGACCGAACCGACUAAUGUUGAAAAAUUAGCGGAUGACUUGUGGCUGGGGGUGAAAGGCCAAUCAAACCGGGAGAUAGCUGGUUCUCCCCGAAAGCUAUUUAGGUAGCGCCUCGUGAACUCAUCUCCGGGGGUAGAGCACUGUUUCGGCAAGGGGGUCAUCCCGACUUACCAACCCGAUGCAAACUGCGAAUACCGGAGAAUGUUAUCACGGGAGACACACGGCGGGUGCUAACGUCCGUCGUGAAGAGGGAAACAACCCAGACCGCCAGCUAAGGUCCCAAAGUCAUGGUUAAGUGGGAAACGAUGUGGGAAGGCCCAGACAGCCAGGAUGUUGGCUUAGAAGCAGCCAUCAUUUAAAGAAAGCGUAAUAGCUCACUGGUCGAGUCGGCCUGCGCGGAAGAUGUAACGGGGCUAAACCAUGCACCGAAGCUGCGGCAGCGACGCUUAUGCGUUGUUGGGUAGGGGAGCGUUCUGUAAGCCUGUGAAGGUGUACUGUGAGGUAUGCUGGAGGUAUCAGAAGUGCGAAUGCUGACAUAAGUAACGAUAAAGCGGGUGAAAAGCCCGCUCGCCGGAAGACCAAGGGUUCCUGUCCAACGUUAAUCGGGGCAGGGUGAGUCGACCCCUAAGGCGAGGCCGAAAGGCGUAGUCGAUGGGAAACAGGUUAAUAUUCCUGUACUUGGUGUUACUGCGAAGGGGGGACGGAGAAGGCUAUGUUGGCCGGGCGACGGUUGUCCCGGUUUAAGCGUGUAGGCUGGUUUUCCAGGCAAAUCCGGAAAAUCAAGGCUGAGGCGUGAUGACGAGGCACUACGGUGCUGAAGCAACAAAUGCCCUGCUUCCAGGAAAAGCCUCUAAGCAUCAGGUAACAUCAAAUCGUACCCCAAACCGACACAGGUGGUCAGGUAGAGAAUACCAAGGCGCUUGAGAGAACUCGGGUGAAGGAACUAGGCAAAAUGGUGCCGUAACUUCGGGAGAAGGCACGCUGAUAUGUAGGUGAAGCGACUUGCUCGUGGAGCUGAAAUCAGUCGAAGAUACCAGCUGGCUGCAACUGUUUAUUAAAAACACAGCACUGUGCAAACACGAAAGUGGACGUAUACGGUGUGACGCCUGCCCGGUGCCGGAAGGUUAAUUGAUGGGGUUAGCGCAAGCGAAGCUCUUGAUCGAAGCCCCGGUAAACGGCGGCCGUAACUAUAACGGUCCUAAGGUAGCGAAAUUCCUUGUCGGGUAAGUUCCGACCUGCACGAAUGGCGUAAUGAUGGCCAGGCUGUCUCCACCCGAGACUCAGUGAAAUUGAACUCGCUGUGAAGAUGCAGUGUACCCGCGGCAAGACGGAAAGACCCCGUGAACCUUUACUAUAGCUUGACACUGAACAUUGAGCCUUGAUGUGUAGGAUAGGUGGGAGGCUU
rnacentral:rRNA from 1 species